AUGGAGUCAUCUAGCAACGAGGGAGAGAGAGUGCAUCUACGAUCUCAUCCGGGACUCCGAACAACAUUCAGUAACCGCGGCAUAUUUCCAACACGGAGCUCCAUGGGAGGCGCAGCUAUGCGCGGCCGACGAGCAGGAGGCUCACGGGGCCUCGGGUGCGGUGUGCAGAGGAGGCAGCGGCGCGACUCUGGAGCAUGGCAUGAGGAGGAGAGGAGGAAGGAGAUCGGGAAGAGAAGGUUGGCGGCGCUGGGAGAUCGAAGAAAGAGGAGGGGGAUCGAGCAAGUCCUCCUGGCUCGAUGCGUGCGUUGA
rnacentral:rRNA from 1 species